rnacentral:rRNA from 1 species
UGGGGAAUUUUGGACAAUGGGCGCAAGCCUGGUCCAGCCAUGCCGUGUGCGGGAAGAAGGCCUUCGGGUUGUAAACCGCUUUUGUCAGGGAAGAAAUCUUCUGAGUUAAUACCUCGGGAGGAUGACGGUACCUGAAGAAUAAGCACCGGCUAACUACGUGCCAGCAGCCGCGGUAAUACGUAGGGUGCAAGCGUUAAUCGGAAUUACUGGGCGUAAAGCGUGCGCAGGCGGUUUUGUAAGACAGAGGUGAAAUCCCCGGGCUCAACCUGGGAACUGCCUUUGUGACUGCAAGGCUUGAGUGCGGCAGAGGGGGGAUGGAAUUCCGCGUGUAGCAGUGAAAUGCGUCGAUAUGCGGAGGAACACCGAUGGCGAAGGCAAAUCCCCCUGGGCCUGCACUGACGCUCAUGCACGAAAGCGUGGGGAGCAAACAGGAUUAGAUACCCUGGUAGUCCNCGCCCUAAACGAUGUCAACUGGUUGUUGGGGAAGGUUUCCCUUUCUCAGUAACGUAGCUAACGCGUGAAGUUGACCGCCUGGGGAGUACGGCCGCAAGGUUGAAACUUAAAUGAAUUGACGGGGU